AGAACACUGUUUCCUGUCUUCUGGAUGCCGCCCAUGGCCCCUUCAAUUACUAACUGGCUAGACAGAGUUAGGAUACUAGAGGAACAAACAGCUAGGCAAUAAGCAGGAUAGAGAUAUACCAAGAGACAUGGAUGAUCUGACUCUCCUACCUAUCGCGAAAUUAAAGAUAAGUUCCUCCUCAACUUACCCACAGCAGGAGCACACAUCAUCUAGG